rnacentral:rRNA from 1 species
UACGAAGGGGGCUAGCGUUGCUCGGAAUCACUGGGCGUAAAGCGCACGUAGGCGGAUUGUUAAGUCAGGGGUGAAAUCCUGGAGCUCAACUCCAGAACUGCCUUUGAUACUGAAGAUCUUGAGUUCGGGAGAGGUGAGUGGAACUGCGAGUGUAGAGGUGAAAAUUCGUAGAUAUUCGCAAGAACACCAGUGGCGAAGGCGGCUUACUGGUCCGGUUCUGACGCUGAGGGCGCGAAAAAGCGUGGGGGGAGCAAAACAGGG